AGAGUUUGAUCAUGGCUCAGAGUGAACGCUGGCGGCGUGCUUAACACAUGCAAGUCGAACGGUAACAGAACUAGCUUGCUAGUUGCUGACGAGUGGCGCACGGGUGAGUAAUAUAUAGUUAAUGUGCCUCGAAGACCGGGAUAGCCAUUGGAAACGAUGAUUAAUACUGGAUAUACCUUCUCUACAUAAGUAGAGUUGGGAAACGUUUUUUCGCUUCGAGAUCAGACUAUAUCCCAUCAGUUAGUUGGUAGUGUAAGAGACUACCAAGGCAAUGACGGGUAGCGGGUUUGAGAGGAUGAUCCGCCACACUGGUACUGAGACACGGACCAGACUCCUACGGGAGGCAGCAGUGAGGAAUAUUGCACAAUGGAGGAAACUCUGAUGCAGCAACGCCGCGUGGAGGAUGACGCAUUUCGGUGUGUAAACUCCUUUUAUGAGUCAAGAAAAUGACGGUAGCUCAUGAAUAAGCACCGGCUAACUCCGUGCCAGCAGCCGCGGUAAUACGGAGGGUGCAAGCGUUACUCGGAAUCACUGGGCGUAAAGGACGCGUAGGCGGGAUGCCAAGUCUGAUGUGAAAUCCUAUGGCUCAACCAUAGAACUGCAUUGGAAACUGGUAACCUAGAGUAUGGGAGGGGGAGAUGGAAUUAGUGGUGUAGGGGUAAAAUCCGUAGAUAUCACUAGGAAUACCUAAAGCGAAGGCGAUCUCCUGGAACAAUACUGACGCUAAGGCGUGAAAGCGUGGGGAGCAAACGGGAUUAGAUACCCCGGUAGUCCACGCCCUAAACGAUGUUCACUAGUCGUCGGGAUGCUUGUCAUCUCGGUGAUGCACUUAACAGAUUAAGUGAACCGCCUGGGGAGUACGGUCGCAAGAUUAAAACUCAAAGGAAUAGACGGGGACCCGCACAAGUGGUGGGGCAUGUGGUU
rnacentral:rRNA from 1 species